GACGAACGCUGGCGGCGUGCCUAAUACAUGCAAGUUGAGCGCUGAAGGUUGGUACUUGUACCGACUGGAUGAGCAGCGAACGGGUGAGUAACGCGUGGGGAAUCUGCCUUUGAGCGGGGGACAACAUUUGGAAACGAAUGCUAAUACCGCAUAAAAACUUUAAACACAAGUUUUAAGUUUGAAAGAUGCAAUUGCAUCGCUCAAAGAUGAUCCCGCGUUGUAUUAGCUAGUUGGUGAGGUAAAGGCUCACCAAGGCGAUGAUACAUAGCCGACCUGAGAGGGUGAUCGGCCACAUUGGGACUGAGACACGGCCCAAACUCCUACGGGAGGCAGCAGUAGGGAAUCUUCGGCAAUGGACGAAAGUCUGACCGAGCAACGCCGCGUGAGUGAAGAAGGUUUUCGGAUCGUAAAACUCUGUUGGUAGAGAAGAACGUUGGUGAGAGUGGAAAGCUCAUCAGGUGACGGUAACUACCCAGAAAGGGACGGCUAACUACGUG
rnacentral:rRNA from 1 species